rnacentral:rRNA from 1 species
UACGUAGGGGGCAAGCGUUGUCCGGAAUCAUUGGGCGUAAAGAGCGCGUAGGCGGUCCGGUAAGUCCGCUCUGAAAGUCCGGGGCUCAACCCCGGGAGGCGGGCGGAUACUGUCGGGCUAGAGUCCGGAAGAGGCGAGUGGAAUUCCCGGUGUAGUGGUGAAAUGCGUAGAUAUCGGGAGGAACACCAGUGGCGAAGGCGACUACCUGGCCUGUUCUUGACGCUGAGGCGCGAAAGCUAGGGGAGCAAACGGG